UACCAGCACCCCGAGUGGUCGGGACGUUUUAUUGGGCCUAAAGCAUCCGUAGCCGGUUCCACAAGUCUUCCGUUAAAUCCACCUGCUCAACAGAUGGGCUGCGGAAGAUACUAUGGAGCUAGGAGGCGGGAGAGGCAAGCGGUACUCGAUGGGUAGGGGUAAAAUCCGUUGAUCCAUUGAAGACCACCAGUGGCGAAGGCGGCUUGCCAGAACGCGCUCGACGGUGAGGGAUGAAAGCUGGGGGAGCAAACCGG
rnacentral:rRNA from 1 species